rnacentral:rRNA from 1 species
GAUGAACGCUGGCGGCGUGCUUAACACAUGCAAGUCGAACGGAAAGGCCAGUGCUUGCACUGGUACUCGAGUGGCGAACGGGUGAGUAACACGUGGGUGAUCUGCCCUGCACUUCGGGAUAAGCCUGGGAAACUGGGUCUAAUACCGGAUAGGACAAUGGUUUGGAUGCCGUUGUGGAAAGUUUUUUCGGUGUGGGAUGAGCUCGCGGCCUAUCAGCUUGUUGGUGGGGUAAUGGCCUACCAAGGCGUCGACGGGUAGCCGGCCUGAGAGGGUGUACGGCCACAUUGGGACUGAGAUACGGCCCAGACUCCUACGGGAGGGAGCAGUGGGGAAUAUUGCACAAUGGGCGCAAGCCUGAUGCAGCGAGGCCGCGUGGGGGAUGACGGCCUUCGGGUUGUAAACUCCUUUCGCUAGGGACGAAGCGUAUUUGUGACGGUACCUGGAGAAGAAGCACCGGCUAACUACGUG